rnacentral:lncRNA from 1 species
GAACAACAAAGGCAAGAAUAGGACACCAUGGAUUCAUCACCGAAUUGAAUCCUUAUUGAAAUCGAAAACACUUUGUGCACGGAUGAAAGAAGACGAAGGGAGGGUGGCUCCAGGUAACUAUCACUUUGUAUCUUCUUCUUCGUGCCUUUGAUUCUGCUCUGUUAUGUUUUGUUAUUGUUCUUCAAUUUCGUUCCGUGUUUGUAAUCGUGUGCAUGUUAUUGUGGCUGCUGAUUCGUUACGUCGUUGUUGAAUUCGUGGUGAGGAUAAUUGAAGGGUGUGUAUUAUUGUGAAGAGUGAAGAAUGUUGAAUUCAUCUUGUGAUUGUUGCCCCCUAAUUCUCUAUGCAAUCCUCUGUUCUCCUUUGUUUGAAGCUCUCUUCCAAGUUCUGUUAUUCUGUUAUGAUCUUCUCAAUUCUGUUUAUUUUUUUCUCUUGUAUGCCUCUGUUUCAGGUUGGUUAUCGAUUUUGUUGUGUACUUUUUUGGAAAGCGGUUAUAGGUUGGAAGUUGUUAGUGGUUGGUUCUGAAAUUCGGUUAGGAGUUAAAAGUUGUUAGUGGUUGGUUGUGAAAAUGAUUAGAAGUGUUGGUUAGCCAAAUGAAGUUAGUUGGAAUUGAGUUAGAGGUAACUAGUUGUUUGUUAUGUAGGAAGUGAAUUUAGUUAGAAAGAAUUAGUUGGAAUUCAGGUUAAUUGCUUUGCAAAUGGUUUGCUGUGCAAGUUUGCUGAGUUGAAGAAAAUGAAUUAUGCAGGUUAUAUGUUUUUGCUGUGGAAAUUACAGGGCUUUGUGAUCAAUAGCUUGGAAUGCAAGAACUCGAUUUACAUUGUGGAAUUGUUGGUCAUGAAGGAAUGGAUUUGAGCUAGGGACUGUCAUUGAAAUGAAUUGGAAUGCUAUGGACUUUGUUCAUGUUGUAGUUUUUGUAAUUUGAAGUUGAAUGUAAUAUGUAAGUUGGUUUAUGGUUAAGUGUAUGAAAUGUGAAUAUUGAUGUAUGAAUGGAAAUGUUGAUGUAUGUAUGGAAAUUAAAUCUUAGAAAUUGGCUAAAAAAUGAUAAUUGGAUUAUGUUUGGAAA